rnacentral:rRNA from 1 species
UACGGAGGGUGCAAGCGUUAUCCGGAUUCACUGGGUUUAAAGGGUUCGUAGGUGGGCAGGUAAGUCAGUGGUGAAAUCUCCGAGCUUAACUCGGAAACUGCCGUUGAUACUAUUUGUCUUGAAUAUUGUGGAGGUAAGCGGAAUAUGUCAUGUAGCGGUGAAAUGCUUAGAUAUGACAUAGAACACCAAUUGCGAAGGCAGCUUACUACACAACGAUUGACGCUGAGGCACGAAAGCGUGGGGAUCAAACAGG